UUAAAGAGCAGACAAAUUGAUUUAUACAUAGAACAUUGGGACAGGCUUGGAAAGUUUCACGUACAACAUACGUACAAAUUUCCACCGUAUGAGAAACGAUAUUUACGAAACCAGUCCAUUGUCGUUUGACAGAAAACAUCCGGUAGCAUUAACAAGAUUGCGGAUCAUCUAAAAAUUGUAAGCAUGCUUACCUACUUAACAACGACGACCAGCCACUGCGUAACAGAUGAAACGAAAUAAACUCGAUUGAACGCGUGGUUGUAUCUUGUCCGGAAUAUCAACGUAGGAUGUACCAUCAGUAAUGAUCAACGAAAGUCCUAAAGAAGUGACUCAAAUUGCGAAUUCGUGCUCAAGUGUAUUGAAAUUCUCGAAACACCUUCGAAUUGCUUUUUUAAUCUAACGUGAUGUUAUUAUAUUUAACUGUGAUCUUACGUCGAUUCGCGUGAUUUCCAAUGACUGAAAUUGAUCGGUGGAUGCAACAGAGAAAGAAAUUAAAAGAAAAAGAAAAAAAUUCUAUUCAAUAUUUGCACGCUUCGAAACACUCACAUGUGUAUAGAGAUCUUGGUCGUUCGAAGGCAAGCUGGAUUGAGAUAGCAACGACAGGCAGCUAUUAAGGUCAACAACGGAUUUCAGGAAAAAUCGAUAGACCGGAUAGAACGACCCUCGAUGGAUAUCGGCCUGUUUAGAAUCAAGGGCUGCAUAGAAGAAGCGAACAAGAUCAGCCUGCUGUGAAGUGUCAAAAACUACUCGUGGCUGGCAGCCAAUAAAGCAACAAAAGAGGGAAAGCUGGAAAUAGCUCGGCUACCAGAAAACAAUAAAGCAGUUGAGGCAUUAUGCAAUGAAAAUCUCGUUUUACUUAAACAGCGUUACCGAAAUCUUACAAUGUAGGCGGAUAAAGAUGGAUAAACAUUGUAACCAAAGCGAU